rnacentral:tRNA from 1 species
AAUCAAUGAACUUGUAUAAGUGUAUAUUUUGAAAGUAUAAAAAAGAGUAUUACCCUCUAUUGAUUU